UUUAAUGAGAGUUUGAUCCUGGCUCAGGACGAACGCUGGCGGCGUGCCUAAUACAUGCAAGUAGAACGCUGAAGUCUGGUGCUUGCACUAGACGGAUGAGUUGCGAACGGGUGAGUAACGCGUAGGUAACCUGCCUCAUAGCGGGGGAUAACUAUUGGAAACGAUAGCUAAUACCGCAUAACAGUAUUUACCGCAUGGU
rnacentral:rRNA from 1 species